rnacentral:rRNA from 1 species
UACGUAGGGGGCAAGCGUUGUCCGGAUUUAUUGGGCGUAAAGAGCGUGUAGGCGGCCAAGCAGGUCCGCUGUGAAAACUCGAGGCUCAACCUCGAGAGGUCGGUGGAAACCGUUUGGCUAGAGUCCGGAAGAGGAGAGUGGAAUUCCCGGUGUAGCGGUGAAAUGCGCAGAUAUCGGGAAGAACACCCGUGGCGAAGGCGGCGC